CUCAACUGUUCGGCAGCAGCCGGUCGUUGCAGCAGCUCCAGGUGUGGAUACAGUAGACAGCCACCUAGCAGCUCUCUUUCCGUCCCGGCAGCGCAGCGGCGUGCCAUUGUCUGCUGCAGGUACAGUCAGGAGCAACUGUGCACCUGCACCCCGCUAUCAAGCGCAGCAGCACUUCGGCGCAUGGACAUCAAAAGGCAUGAGGAGAAAAAGAGCUAGAUCACAGCAGCAUGACCAUUUCAACAAGGACGUAAUAUUACUUCCCAAUCCAUCAUGGGGAAUAGUGUGCAAACAAAAUCCAAAAUUAUGGUUACACAAACAUGGGCACAUCCUCAGUGCCUUUGAAUUCCAGAAGGCCUGGGACCACCAGACUGUUGUGGAAUGCAUCAGAGAUGGUUUUGGUGUGCACAUUCCAGAGGAUGUCAGCCUCCAGUUUCUAAUGGCUUGUGGCAAUAAG